rnacentral:rRNA from 1 species
AUUGAACGCUGGCGGCAGGCCUAACACAUGCAAGUCGAACGGUAACAGGAAGAAGCUUGCUUCUUUGCUGACGAGUGGCGGACGGGUGAGUAAUGUCUGGGAAACUGCCUGAAGGAGGGGGAUAACUACUGGAAACGGUAGCUAAUACCGCAUAACGUCGCAAGACCAAAGAGGGGGACCUUCGGGCCUCUUGCCAUCGGAUGUGCCCAGAUGGGAUUAGCUAGUAGGUGGGGUAACGGCUCACCUGGGCGACGAUCCCUAGCUGGUCUGAGAGGAUGACCAGCCACACUGGAACUGAGACACGGUCCAGACUCCUACGGGAGGCAGCAGUGGGGAAUAUUGCACAAUGGGCGCAAGCCUGAUGCAGCCAUGCCGCGUGUAUGAAGAAGGCCUUCGGGUUGUAAAGUACUUUCAGCGGGGAGGAAGGGAGUAAAGUUAAUACCUUUGCUCAUUGACGUUACCCGCAGAAGAAGCACCGGCUAACUCCGUG